rnacentral:lncRNA from 1 species
UGCAGGCUGCCACAUUUUGUAAAGCAUAGCAGUUCAUGUGGCUUUUUUGUAAACAAAAGGAUGUAAUGCAGAUUGCCUCACACUUGAAAUGCAUUUUUAGUUUUGUAAACCUUAGACAUUGUACAUAUGGACACACACCAAUCUAUUGCACUACAUAUGGGCACACACCAACAUAUGUAAGCAUAAUUACAGCUACACAUGAGCACACACCAUCAUAUAUAAGCAUUUAGGGCACACACCAACAUAUGUACGCCUAUUAGGGGCUGUAAACCAUGUUUUCUCAUUGUUUUUUGUUAAUCAUAGAAUAUUUACUUCACACAAUAAUCGAGCAUAAUUUCAUCAUCUCAAACACAUUAUCCAUCGCCC